rnacentral:rRNA from 1 species
GACGAACGCUGGCGGCGUGCUUAACACAUGCAAGUCGAACGGAAAGGCGCUGCUUUUGUGGGGUGCUCGAGUGGCGAACGGGUGAGUAACACGUGAGUAACCUGCCCUUGACUUUGGGAUAACUUCAGGAAACUGGGGCUAAUACCGGAUAGGAGCUCCUGCUGCAUGGUGGGGGUUGGAAAGUUUCGGCGGUUGGGGAUGGACUCGCGGCUUAUCAGCUUGUUGGUGGGGUAGUGGCUUACCAAGGCUUUGACGGGUAGCCGGCCUGAGAGGGUGACCGGCCACAUGGGGACUGAGAUACGGCCCAGACUCCUACGGGAGGCAGCAGUGGGGAAUAUUGCACAAUGAGCGGAAGCCUGAUGCAGCAACGCCGCGUGCGGGAUGACGGCCUUCGGGUUGUAAACCGCUUUCGCCUGUGACGAAGCGUGAGUGACGGUAAUGGGUAAAGAAGCACCGGCUAACUACGUG